rnacentral:rRNA from 1 species
AUGAACGCUGGCGGCGUGCCUAAUACAUGCAAGUCGAGCGAACAGACGAGGAGCUUGCUCCUCUGACGUUAGCGGCGGACGGGUGAGUAACGCGUGGAUAACCUACCUAUAAGACUGGGAUAACUUCGGGAAACCGGAGCUAAUACCGGAUAACAUGUUGAACCGCAUGGUUCAACAGUGAAAGACGGUCUUGCUGUCACUUAUAGAUGGAUCCGCGCCGCAUUAGCUAGUUGGUAAGGUAACGGCUUACCAAGGCAACGAUGCGUAGCCGACCUGAGAGGGUGAUCGGCCACACUGGAACUGAGACACGGUCCAGACUCCUACGGGAGGCAGCAGUAGGGAAUCUUCCGCAAUGGGCGAAAGCCUGACGGAGCAACGCCGCGUGAGUGAAGAAGGUCUUCGGAUCGUAAAACUCUGUUAUUAGGGAAGAACAAAUGUGUAAGUAACUAUGCACGUCUUGACGGUACCUAAUCAGAAAGCCACGGCUAACUACGUG